rnacentral:rRNA from 1 species
AUUGAACGCUGGCGGCAGGCCUAACACAUGCAAGUCGAACGGUAACAGGAAGAAGCUUGCUUCUUUGCUGACGAGUGGCGGACGGGUGAGUAAUGUCUGGGAAACUGCCUGAUGGAGGGGGAUAACUACUGGAAACGGUAGCUAAUACCGCAUAACGUCGCAAGACCAAAGAGGGGGACCUUCGGGCCUCUUGCCAUCGGAUGUGCCCAGAUGGGAUUAGCUAGUAGGUGGGGUAACGGCUCACCUUGGCGACGAUCCCUAGCUGGUCUGAGAGGAUGACCAGCCACACUGGAACUGAGACACGGUCCAGACUCCUACGGGAGGCAGCAGUGGGGAAUAUUGCACAAUGGGCGCAAGCCUGAUGCAGCCAUGCCGCGUGUAUGAAGAAGGCCUUCGGGUUGUAAAGUACUUCCAGCGGGGAGGAAGGGAGUAAAGUUAAUACCUUUGCUCAUUGACGUUACCCGCAGAAGAAGCACCGGCUAACUCCGUG